AUUGAACGCUGGCGGCAGGCCUAACACAUGCAAGUCGAACGAGUGGCGCACGGGUGAGUAAUGUCUGGGAAACUGCCCGAUGGAGGGGGAUAACUACUGGAAACGCUGGCUAAUACCGCAUACCCUCGGAUGUGCCCAGAUGGGGUUAGCUUGUAGGUGAGGUAACUGCUCACCUAGGCGACGAUCCCUAGCUGGUCUGAGAGGAUGACCAGCCAGACUGGAACUGAGACACGGGCCAGACGCCUACGGGAGGCAGAAGUGGGGAAUAUUGCACAAUGGUCGCAAGCCUGAGGCAGCCAUGCCGCGUGUAUGAAGAAGGCCUUCGGGUUGUAAAGUACUUUCAGCGGGGAGGCGUUACCCGCAGAAGAAGCACCGGCUAACUCCGUGCCAGCAGCCGCGGUAAUUC
rnacentral:rRNA from 1 species